rnacentral:lncRNA from 1 species
UCCUUAAUGAUGCCUUUACAAUAGGUUUCGAAUUUGAUCUAAUCAAAUUCGAUUCUAUGGGUUCACUAGAUUGUGUUGGUUCUCUACCUGUCGAACUUCAUAAGUUUCACAUUAGAGGUAUCAGUUCCUUCACCAAGGUACUCUUUUUUUAAAAAAAAAUGCCAAACAACUUUUAUUCUUUAGCAUGGUAGAACUAAUAUCCCCUU